UGCACUCCAGCCUGGGCAACAAGAGCGAAACUCCGUCUCAAAAAACAGACAAACAAACAAAUAUAUGGGGAGUCUAGCCAGCCCCCUUCUCUGGAACUCUAGCGUCUCUCCAACCUGCCAUGUCUCCUGGCUACAGAACCUUGGCUUGUGAUGUCUCCUUCACCUAGAAGAGCGGCACCCACUAGCACUCCAGCGCCAACAGCUCUCUUAUAACACACAGUGGUAACUUCAUAAUUACUGAUAUGAUCCACUCAUUGUCUGUCUGCUCAAAAAUGUCUUCUUUGUAGUUACCCAGCAAUGUCGCUCAAAUGCUUAGCACAGUGCCAAACACACAGCACACACAUAAUGGUUUGUUGAAGGAAGAAAGAAAUACAAUAUUAAAGUUGCUGAUUAUGUUGUGGUUUGAGA